rnacentral:rRNA from 1 species
CAGCAGCAGCCACGGGAAUACGAAGGGUGCAAGCGUUACUCGGAAUUACUGGGCGUAAAGCGUGCGUAGGUGGUGGUUUAAGUCCGUUGUGAAAGCCCUGGGCUCAACCUGGGAAUUGCAGUGGAUACUGGGUCACUAGAGUGUGGUAGAGGAUAGUGGAAUUUCCGGUGUAGCAGUGAAAUGCGUAGAGAUCGGAAGGAACAUCUGUGGCGAAGGCGACUAUCUGGGCCAACACUGACACUGAGGCACGAAAGCGUGGGGAGCAAACAGGAUUAGAUACCCCUGUAGUCCCUGUCUCUUAUAC